rnacentral:rRNA from 1 species
CCUACGGGUGGCAGCAGUGAGGAAUAUUGGUCAAUGGACGCAAGUCUGAACCAGCCAUGCCGCGUGCAGGAUGACGGCUCUAUGAGUUGUAAACUGCUUUUGUACGAGGGUAAACGCAGAUACGCGUCUCUGUCUGAAAGUAUCGUACGAAUAAGGAUCGGCUAACUACGUGCCAGCAGCCGCGGUAAUACGGAGGAUUCAAGCGUUAUCCGGAUUUAUUGGGUUUAAAGGGUGCGUAGGCGGUCGGAUAAGUUAGAGGUGAAAUCCCGAGGCUCAACUUCGGAAUUGCAUUUGAUACUGUUAGGCUAGAGAAUAGUAGCGGUAGGCGGAAUGUGUGGUGUAGCGGUGAAAUGCUUAGAGAUCAUACAGAACACCGAUUGCGAAGGCAGCUUACUAAGCUACAACUGACGCUGAGGCACGAAAGCGUGGGGAGCAAACAGGAUUAGAUACCCGUGUAGUC